rnacentral:rRNA from 1 species
GACGAACGCUGGCGGCGUGCUUAACACAUGCAAGUCGAACGAUGAACCUCGAAAUGAUUUCUUCGGAAAGAUUUUUGAGAGGAUUAGUGGCGAACGGGUGAGUAACGCGUGAGCAACCUGCCUUAGACAAGGGGAUAGCCUCGGGAAACCGUGAUUAAUACCCUAUGAGACUCCACUUACGAGUGUAAGAGAAGUUAAAGCUAUUGCGGUCUAAGAUGGGCUCGCGUCUGAUUAGCUAGUUGGUGAGAUAAAAGCCCACCAAGGCGACGAUCAGUAACCGGCUUGAGAGAGGGAACGGUCACAUUGGAACUGAGACACGGUCCAAACUCCUACGGGAGGCAGCAGUGGGGAAUAUUGCACAAUGGGGGCAACCCUGAUGCAGCGACGCCGCGUGAGCGAUGAAGGAAUUCGUUUCGUAAAGCUCUGUCCUUGGAGAAGAUAAUGACGGUAACCAAGGAGGAAGCACCGGCUAAAUACGUG